GGGGGAAUAUUGGACAAUGGGCGAAAGCCUGAUCCAGCCAUGCCGCGUGGGUGAAGAAGGUCUUCGGAUUGUAAAGCACUUUAAGUUGGGAGGAAGGGCAUUAACCUAAUACGUUAGUGUUUUGACGUUACCGACAGAAUAAGCACCGGCUAACUCUGUGCCAGCAGCCGCGGUAAUACAGAGGGUGCAAGCGUUAAUCGGAAUUACUGGGCGUAAAGCGCGCGUAGGUGGUUUGUUAAGUUGGAUGUGAAAUCCCCGGGCUCAACCUGGGAACUGCAUUCAAAACUGACUGACUAGAGUAUGGUAGAGGGUGGUGGAAUUUCCUGUGUAGCGGUGAAAUGCGUAGAUAUAGGAAGGAACACCAGUGGCGAAGGCGACCACCUGGACUAAUACUGACACUGAGGUGCGAAAGCGUGGGGAGCAAACA
rnacentral:rRNA from 1 species